GCCGAGCUGUGUAGCGUCAGCUUGUGACCCAAGUGGGGGCAUGAAGGUGGUGGGAUAAGACUCUGGCUUAGCCAGGUUGGGUUGGUGGCUGCACCAUGCUGGCCUGCCCGUUCCAAGUUGAGAGUUGAAUCAGGUGUUCUGAGCGAAAGCACAGGGCUCUUGGUUCCUAGACGAGGGGGCACCGCGUGAGGCUGGCUUCACAGAGCAGCGAUCACCCCUGGCUCUUGACAGUGGAGGGAUUACAGGCUGCUGCUCUUCCAGCUCAUAUAGCCUGAUGAGCCUAGCUCCUGAACCAUCACUUUU
rfam:Glycine max cultivar Williams 82 chromosome 14, whole genome shotgun sequence.